UACAGGGGGUGCAAACGUUGCUCGGAAUCAUUGGGCGUAAAGCGCGUGUAGGCGGCUCGAUAAGUCUGCUGUGAAAGUCCAGGGCUCAACCCUGGAAUGCCGGUGGAAACUGUCGAGCUAGAGUCCGGAAGAGGCGAGUGGAAUUCCUGGUGUAGCGGUGAAAUGCGCAGAUAUCAGGAGGAACACCAAUUGCGAAGGCAGCUCGCUGGGACGGUACUGACGCUCAUGCACGAAAGCGUGGGGAGCAAACAGG
rnacentral:rRNA from 1 species